rnacentral:rRNA from 1 species
CCUACGGGUGGCAGCAGUGAGGAAUAUUGGUCAAUGGGCGCGAGCCUGAACCAGCCAAGUAGCGUGAAGGAAGACGGCCCUACGGGUUGUAAACUUCGUUUAUAAAGGAAUAAAGUGAGGCACGUGUGCCUUGUUGUAUGUACCUUAUGAAUAAGGAUCGGCUAACUCCGGGCCAGCAGCCGCGGUAAUCCUGAGGAUCCGAGCGUUAUCCGGAUUUAUUGGGUUUAAAGGGGGCGUAGAUGGGUUGUUAAGUCAGUUGUCAAAGUUUGCGGCUCAACCGUAAAAUUGCACUUGAUACUGGCAGCCUUGAGUACAGUUGAGGUAGGCGGAAUGCGUGGUGUAGCGGU